CAGACCAAGGCGAUGUACGAGUUUACUAUAGCUGGUUAACAGGGAGCCUUUCAUCGAGCCGCCUGUAUAGCUGGCCUUGCCUGCAUUUUGGAAAGUCUGAGCCUUGGUCGAAAGGUGGGUACAGUGACCUGGAAAACAUCGAUUGUUCAGCCAAACGGCAAAACAAAAGCAGGGAGCAUAUAAAUGCCCACAUCAGAUUCAAGCUUCUGGGAAAAAGCUGCAUUGAUUAUGAUGAAGUUCUACGUAUUCAAACUGCACAACACAACGAUAAAGUAAGAAGAAACAGGGAUGUUAUCAAACUGCUUAUUAACACCACUGCGUUUUUGGGCGUGUAAUAAUUUGCUUUUAGAGGACACGACGAGAGGGAAAGCUCUGCCAACAAGGGCAACUACAAGGAGUUUGAAGAGUCAAAUCCUGUCCUACACUGGUCAAGCCUCUGAACACCUCAACUCAUGCCUCAUACCCUCAUUCAAUCACUGCUGUGAUCCCUUUCCAACACUGUGACAAUGACCCAACACACCUCCAGGCUGUGUAAGGGCUAUUUGACCAAGAAUGAGAGUGAUGGAGUGCUGCAUCAGAUGACCUGGCCUCCACAAUCACCUGACCUAAACCCAGUUGAGAUGGUUUGGGAUGAGUUGGACUGCAGAGUGAAUGAAUAGCAGCCAACAAGUGCGCAGCAUAUUUGGAAACUCCUUCAAGACUGUUGGAAAAGCAUUUUGUCAUUAUGGGGUAUUGUGUGUAGAACUUUGUGGG